rnacentral:lncRNA from 1 species
GAAUCUCUUGCCACUCAUUCGGCUCAUCUUUUGAGUAUUUACGCUUUAGUCCUCCAACUUUUAACUGUCUUCAUUUCAGUCCCUCUUCGAUUCUUUCUUCCUCCACUUGUUUUACUUUGUCCUUGAGCUCAAACUCGACAUGUUUUUACCCUCGUUUUGCAUUUAGCUCAACUUCUCAAUAUUUGCACCUUUGGUCCUCGAACUAUCACUUUGUUGAGUUUUGGUCCUUCUUCGGCUCUUUUCUCCUCAAUUCCACAAUUUUCAUUGAAAUACCUACAUUGCAUGAAUUUAAUAAGAUUAAGCCACAAUUUAACCAUUUUAUCCAUGUUUAAGUCAUGUUUGUGAACCAAAUAAGUGUGUAAAAACAUACUUAUC